AUUUUCUUAAAAUUUAUGGAAAAGUUGUCCCAAAAAUAUUGGUUAAAUAUAUAACUUUAAUAUAUUUUCAAAAUAAAAUCGUUUUAUUUUAACAUAUAUUCUUAAAGAUGAGAACAAUAUGAGCAAAUACAUGAAAAAUUAAGUUUUUUAUUUAUGCCUCUUUUUAACUUACCACAAGUUAAUAAAUGUUCACCACAGAAAAAUGUUACGAACAAAUAAGCAACCAUGCCGAAUAGUGGGGUCCAGAUUAUGCUCAUUCACAGUCAUAUUUACAUUUUUGCCGUCGCAUUGCUAGAAUCAGCAGAGAAGCUAGUGUAGAACGUUUGAUUAUUUGUUUGCCUUAAACGGUAGUCCCAAACCAAUUAGCUUUGUGCUUGAGGGUGGAAGCAACUUUUUGAAGAGCAAAUACUACUGUGAGCACAUUCGGAGGUUUAUCAAGCUGUUGGACCAAAGCGUUACCAGAUGAGCGAAUUAGUGGAACAGAGCCAUCGUGUUAUGCGCAAAGAUGAAAAUUGGUAGCGAUACCGACGUUAUGACAUGCGUUGGGAUCCAACUUUCCUGUUGAAAGCCAAGUUCACUGAGCUUAUCUGUCCUGAACAACCUAUUGGUGAGCUGCAUUUGAAACGUACCGAUGUCGUUUGGAUGUACAAUUGACCUCCAUAGAAGAGCAAACACCAUGGAAAUUGUGACCAUAUCGUGCUGCGCAAUAUUAUGAUGCCGAAUUGGGAGAGUGGGAGGAACCAGCUCCACCAAAACGGAAAGAACAUCGGGAAGAGCUACGUAUGUUCGCAUAAAACUACUAUAAUGGCAACAACUCUAACAACAGCCAAGCAAAUAAUAAAAACACUCAUCAAAUGAAAGUUGGUGGCGUUGGUGGCCAAGCAGCGAUUUAAAAAGUGGACAAUUCGUACAAUUCGUCUUUACAUCAAGUGAAUUAUGUAUGUUCGAUUAUGAACGAUGUGGAAAUUGAUAAUUAAGCUUUAAAAAACAAGUAAAUGUUAUUUGGUUAAUAAUGAACCGCUAUUGAAAAUUAAGGAAUUUGAGUUGAGUUAAUUUCAAAUGGAAUAUGUGUACUUCGAACAAUCGGUGUAUUUGUAUAA
rnacentral:lncRNA from 1 species